ensembl:lncRNA
UAAUGUAAAUAUGGUGUCACCACUAAACUUUGAUGCACUGAUAAUAUCUACAUCACCAGGACCACAGAAGCACGCAUCUGAAAUGAAUCUAAAGAUACUACUUGCAUCUGAUAAAAAGACAAGAGUUUGGUCUCAGAGUGAAUAUUCAACAGGAAAUAUGCUUUUAUUACCUAUGUAUGACAGAGUCACAUCUAGGUCCCAGUAUAAGUCCCUAUCAGCCUAUCUACAGAAAUGGACUAUAUUUGAUACAAUGGUGCAAUCAUGUACUGAAGAUAUGAAUACACUAAAAAAUCAAUGGUUACACAUUUUGUGUGGUGCAAUUUCAUCAUCACGGCAUUUGGAUGAUUUUCAAGAAAAAGAAGUAUGGGAACAACUUGUGUCUGAUGAAUUCAUUCUAUCAAGGAUACUAGUUUCAUCUCCAGAAGCAAAUCCAUGGGAUUUUCUGAUAUCUGAUACAAUCAUAGUCUCAUGGCCUGAAUCAAAAUAUUUACCAGUCAAUAGGGGACCACUUUUUCGAUAUAAUGAAAUUUCACCAUCAUGGCCUGAACUUCCACUAGUAGAUUUAACAACAUCAUCUCUAUCUGAUAUAAUCAUACCACACUGGUUACAUAAAGCAUCUUCAGGAGGAAAUCCAUGGCCAUGGAGUUUGUCUGAUACAGUGACACCAACGUUGAUCCAGAUAGAAUCUCCAAUAUUGAGUCUGUUGACACUGCUACAUCCUAAUCCAGAGCGUUCAAAUGCAUUUUCAACAAGAAAUAUAUUGCCUAACCACUCAGCUGACAUAAUCACAGGACCAUGGAAUCAUACUGAAACUCCAUGGAUAUUUCAUGUAUCUGUUAUUUCACCAUUACCUCAGACUGAGUUUCAAGCUGGAAGUCUUUGGUCAUUGCCUUUGUCUGAUACAGUGAUACCAUUAUUGACCCAUUUGGAUUCUUUGCCACUACAUCCAAAGACACUGCUACUGUCUGAUUUUAUCAUUUCACCCUGGACCCUUACAGAACUUUUGCCAUCAAAGCUAUGGAAAUCACCUAUAAUUAAUAGACACACACUAUCUUUGCUCAAGACUGAAUCUAUAAAAGUAAAUACACAGACACUGUUUGUGGCUGAUACAUUCAUACUGCCAUGGGCCCCAUCUACACACCAAACACUAACUACUUGGACAGAGAAAAUUGAUAAUAUAUUAUCACAAUGGACCAAGUCUGAAGUUAUUUUUGUACAGUCUCACAUUCAAUCUGUAUCUGAUAUAAAUCAAAACCAUCUUCCAACUCCAACAAUCACACAUUGGACACAUAUAAUAUCUGAUCAUGGUUUGUUCAGAAACCAAGAUGCUUCACCUGCAAUAUAUUUUUGGAAAAAAUAUGAAGUUGAUGCAUUUGCUGAGUGGGCCUCUACAGAAUUCACGAAUACAAAGCACCCAACAGAGCCUAUAUCUGGUAUAUUCAAGCAGGCCAAAAUUUCAACAACAGAUCUUUGGACAAAUUUUGAAACAAAUAAUAUCUCACAGAUGUUCCAAUCGAAUUCCAGAAUCCUUAAUCUCUGGACACACAUUUUCAGAAAUACAGUAACUUCACUGUUUCAGAGUGUUUCUCUAAAGUUAAUUCCUUGGGCAAAAUUCCAAUCUAGUACAAUCAAAAUAAGGACCAAGGCAGAGACUUCAGUAUUAACUCACUGGACACAGUCUAUCUUUGAUAAAGUUACUCCAUGGGCUGAAACUCUACUAGCAGUAGAAAAUCCAACAGUUCAUAUAACUAGUACAAAACUACUAUGGACAUUGACUGAUAUUAAGGUAAUCAAAUCUGGGAAGCAACCUACAACAGAAAUGGUCUCACAAAUGAUAACAGAGAAAUCUUCUACAGUAAAUUUCUUUUCAAAAUUUGUAUUAGAUAAUAUCUUUCUUUCUGGUCAUACAGUCACUCUAAUAGGAAGCCGAUGGACACAGACUGAGGCUGAUGCAGUGAUAUGGACACGAGACAAGUCCCUUAAAACAUAUAUCCAGACAAAUCCUUACUCUAAAAUACUCAAAAAAUGGGGACCAAGUGAAUUUUCAGAACAAUUUGUCUGGACAGAACCUGAAGCUGGGAAAUCUAUGGUCUGGCAACGGGGCAAAUCUAAAUCUUUCACUCCAAUGAUGGGAGAUACAGCUAAAGUAGUAAAAGUAAGAACAGAAACUGAAUCCUCAAUCAUAACUUAUUUUGCAAAAUCAGUUGCCAAUUCACUGACCACACAGAUAGAAACACACUUCCUAGCAAUGAAUGUUUAUACACAACCUCUACAUGAUAAAUUUAGAGCAAAUAGUAACUACCCAUUAACAACAAGUUGGAAAAAGGAAGAAAAUACAGCAGGAAUCUCUAAAAAUGACUUGGUACUACCUGCAACAGAAAUUGUAAGGUUGUGCAUAUACAUGGUGUAUUCAACAUUUAAUUAUUUGUUACAAAAAGAAACUGUAGUAACUGUAUGGUCUCAAGUUGAACCUCAACAAAUAAAGUUUCCUUCGGAGAAGACUAAACUAUCAAACAUAAUACACUGGACACAGAGUGACUCACCAUCAAUAUAUCCAUGCAUAAAUAAUAAAUUAUCUAAACUCAUACCUUGGACCCAGGUUCAAUACUUACCAGAAUAUCACUUGGCAGAUUCAAAAGCAAUAUCUUGGAUGGAAACUGAAUCUUUUCUAGCAAAUAUAUGGAGAGAAAUCACAUUUUCAAAAGUCAUAUACUGGACACAACCUGAGUCUCUGUCAGUAAGUCAUUCAACAAGGGUUAUACCCUGGAUCCAGAGGGAAUCUCCA